UCCAGUUUUCAACCAAAAUUCAAUCAUAUCUGCUAGAAAGCAAAAAUAGAUGCUUGUCUCUCUUCAAAAUCACUUGAUUGGCAAAACCCUUCCACAAAUGUUGAUCACUGAAUGGAGAAUUGCGGCAAUUUUCAAUUUCUUACAAUAGUUGCUAAGGUUCUGGAAUAAAAAUAAAAUCAGCAUUAGAUUCAUUCAUUUGCAACUCUGAUUGCUUGUAUUUCAACGACUACAUACCUGCUUUAGCACCAGAAGAAGCACUUGAAGAAUCUCAGUAUAUUUCGUGUUACCAAAAACCAAGCUUCAGUAUUAUUUGACAGCAUCCGAUAAAAUCUGAUAAAUCUUUGUUAUUGUAGUUUGAAGGAAACCUAUAUACAUCAUAAAGAAACCUGUGCAGUGCUCAUCGCACUGGCACUGCCUAAUAGUAAACAAUCUAUCAAUUGUUUAAAAACAUGUUCUCUCAAGUACAGCAUUUUUUUUUUUAUUUUUUAUAUUCCAAUUAAACCAAUGUCAAUCUAUGGUUUUACAGCUUAUUGC
rnacentral:lncRNA from 1 species